GGCGCACGGGUGCGUAACGCGUAUGCAACCUACCUUUUACUGGGAGAUAGCCCGGAGAAAUCUGGAUUAAUACCCCAUAGUACCAGAUUGUCGAAUGACGAUUUGGUUAAAGAUUUAUCGGUAAGAGAUGGGCAUGCGUCUGAUUAGCUAGUUGGCGGGGUAACGGCUCACCAAGGCGACGAUCAGUAGGGGUUCUGAGAGGAAGGUCCCCCACACUGGCACUGAGAUACGGGCCAGACUCCUACGGGAGGCAGCAGUAGGGAAUAUUGGGCAAUGGUCGCAAGACUGACCCAGCCAUGCCGCGUGCAGGAAGACGGCCCUCUGGGUUGUAAACUGCUUUUAUCUGGGAAGAAAAAGUCCAUGCGUGGAAAAUUGCCGGUACCAGAUGAAUAAGCACCGGCUAACUCCGUGCCAGCAGCCGCGGUAAUACGGAGGGUGCAAGCGUUGUCCGGAUUUAUUGGGUUUAAAGGGUGCGUAGGCGGCUGAAUAAGUCAGCGGUGAAAGACUUCGGCUUAACCGGAGCAGUGCCGUUGAUACUGUUUAGCUUGAGUGUUGGAGGGGUACAUGGAAUUGAUGGUGUAGCGGUGAAAUGCAUAGAUACCAUCAGGAACACCGAUAGCGAAGGCAUUGUACUGGCCAACAACUGACGCUGAGGCACGAAAGUGUGGGGAUCGAACAGGAUUAGAUACCCUGGUAGUCCACACCGUAAACGAUGAUUACUCGCUGUUAUGGUGUAUGCUGUAGCGGCCAAGCGAAAGCGUUAAGUAAUCCACCUGGGGAGUACGCCGGCAACGGUGAAACUCAAAGGAAUUGGCGGGGGCCCGCACAAG
rnacentral:rRNA from 1 species